rnacentral:rRNA from 1 species
UGGGGAAUCUUCCGCAAUGGACGAAAGUCUGACGGAGCAACGCCGCGUGUAUGAUGAAGGUCUUCGGAUUGUAAAGUACUGUCAUUGGGGAAGAACGGUUUUCUUGAAAAGAUUGAGAAGACAUGACGGUACCCAAGGAGGAAGCCCCGGCUAACUACGUGCCAGCAGCCGCGGUAAUACGUAGGGGGCAAGCGUUGUCCGGAAAUUAUUGGGCGUAAAGGGCGCGUAGGCGGGCUUUUAAGUCCGGUGUGAAAGAUCAGGGCUCAACCCUGAGAGUGCAUCGGAAACUGGAGGCCUUGAGGACAGGAGAGGAAAGUGGAAUUCCACGUGUAGCGGUGAAAUGCGUAGAUAUGUGGAGGAACACCAGUGGCGAAAGGCGACUUUCUGGACUGUAACUGACGCUGAGGCGCGAAAAGCGUGGGGAGCAAAACAGGAUUAGAUACCCUGGUAGUCCACGCCGUAAAACGAUGAGUGCUGGGUGUAGAGGGUAUCGACCCCUUCUGUGCCGCAGUUAACACAAUAAAGCACUCCCGCCUGGGGAGUACGGCCGCAAGGUUG